GGUUUUCAUUUGCUUUUUUUUUUUUUAUUUCACGAAAAAAUGCCUGGCUUUGGUAGAUUCGGUAAUGUCUUUUUACGAGGAUUUAGAUUUGGAAAUGUCAUGUGCAAAAAUUCACCCCCAACCCAAAAAAAUUAAGAUAAAAAUAAAACCAAGUAAAACAUUUAUAUUUCUGUUUUUUACGCAGACUUUUAAGGCGUGAUCUUAUUUUCUACUCUUUUCGUAGAUAAUACUGCCUUCAUAUCCUUACAUCUUGUGACACUUAUGGCCCUUUCUCUGGCAUUGUGCAAUACUGCAAUGUUAAGAAUAUCUUGUUCUGUAAAAAUUAAAAAAUAUAUAUAUCUUCUUGGAAUUUGUGAGCAUAUGGAAGAGGCUUGCCAAGACCAAUGUUAAAGCCCCCUCUUUAGUAAAGAUGAUGUUUAUAUUUUUUUACAAACAAUUAUAUUUGUUAUUAGCCUUGAUGGUUAUAGUGAUGGUUAAGCUGUUUUCGUUGAGACAUGGUUAAAGAAACCAAAUGCUCUGAAAAUGUGUAAUAGGCAUUUUAGCAAGACAUACCAUCAGGCCCAUAUUGCACCUGUUUGGUAAAAGGCCAUUAAUGUUGUUCUUUUUUAGAUAAUGUCAUUUGUGACUUUUCUUUCUUGCAUUUUUACUUUCUCGAUACAAUGUUUGGUGAUGCUAAUGCAACUCAUUAAUGUAUGAUGAUAUCAAGUAGGAAUUCUUCCAUAUAUAAUAUUUCUAUAUAUUUUAUCAUAUACCCUUACUCUAGUUUGUGUACAAUAACUAUUGGCUUAAAUUAAUUUACUAAAGGAAAAUUCUUGUAUUCAGUUUUUAAAUGAAGAAUUGAGUUGAAUGAGUUGUAGCAGGAGUUUUUUUGAUUGCGGUUAGAAUGGAGGAUAGUAGAAUUGUUUUUGGGGUGUACUCAUUGUGAGGUUAAGAGGCUUCCAAUUAAAUCUAGGCUUGCCUUUGGGUUGAGGAAAUAGGAAAACACCAUCUGAACCCACUAAUUGAGAGGAUCGAUCGGUGUCUAAUUAGUUACCAUUAUAUUUUCCCCCUUUUUUGUGGUUGGAUUACACUUGAUAUAAGGCAGAUUUGUCCAAUACAAUCAUGCAGCAUUCACCAGUUCUUAUUGUGCUUAAACUGGGAAUAACUGUAUAUCUGGAGUGACAAACAUGAUCAUUUUUGACAUGGUAUACAAAGCUAAAAUAGGGAGCUUUAGGAAUUAGAAGUUUUAUACAUGAGUGGGUACUGGAUAUAUUGCAAAGAGAAGUAAGUCAGCUACUGCGAGAUUGAUUGUGUUCUCUUGGAAAGAUAUUGUCUUGAUGAUAGAACAUUUUAAUGUCUAAUGUUGGUUUUAAGGUUAAAAAUGGGUCAAAUGGCAUUUGAGAUUGGUCCAUGGUCUGGGGAGAGGAAGUUUUCAGGUAAGCUUCCUGAUCUUUGUCCAUUACAUAUGACUAGGAUGCUGUUGCUAGAGAUUAUUGGACAAACGCUAAUGGUAAGAAUAUGUGCUUAACCAUAGGAGCCUUACUGAUGAAUAGAUUGUUGAGGUAGGAAGACUUUUCUUGUUAAGCUUGGGUAGGAGCUGAAUUUUGAAAGAGAAAACAUCAAACAUUGGAAGGGACAAGCGAGUGCCGCUAUUAGACUUUAGCAUAAACUUAUGGUGGACCAAGGUCCUUUUUCCUUGAGAAAAGAUCCACAAUUGGAAAGCUCCAUCAAAAGUCCAAGCAUUUCCAUGGCUUUCUUGACUAGCGAUGGCUCUUAAAUGCUGUAUCUGUAAGUAAGAAAAAAUAAGGCUGUAACUGCUUCUUUCCUAUACCACAAUUUGGACAAGGGAUUUGUCAUAUUUUUUAUUGAUCUUUUAUUUGAUCACUUUAAGCUAUAUUACCUUCACUACAACCAUCAAAUCCUUCACCAACAAUGUGGUAUUGGCAUGGCUUUAUCAAUGCUUAUUCGUGAAACUUUUCUACCAUGGGCUACCUUUGGUAUUACUGUAAGAUUUCUUUUAAAUCCUUGCUCCCAACUAUAAUUCAAGUUAGAUUAGAUCUUUUACUCCUCUUUUCUUAUAUCUAUCGCAGAUUCAAACACCUCGCCUUGCCAAAGCUGUCUUAAUCUUUUCUGCAUGUGUCAUUGUCAUCUACUUCGGUUUUUCAUUACUUUGUCCUCAUUGGUGCAACUGCAAUGCUGUGGUAGAUUACCUUUGAGAUUUUCCUUGUAAAGGUGGGAGAGUAGCUCAUUACUUGUAGGACUGCAAGUUGCGCGAUCUGAUAAUGCAGCAUCUGUGCCUUUCACCAUGACAAGCUAUCUGAGCCUGAAUCAUGCCUGAAGUCUCCUGCAGAUUCAUCACUCUGCAAUUCCACGUUGCUCCACAUCUUCAGCAAAAGAGUUUGGUGCAGGAUACCUCGGUAUCAUAGCAACUGCUGCGAGCCUUCAAGCCUCAAAAAGUUAAUUUUGUGCAAUUUGUUCACGUGACUCUUCUGGUUGUUUUUACCUCUGUGCACACCAAUAUUUUUGUUGUUUUUCCUUUAAAAACUAAAGUGGAGUAGAUAGCAAAAUUUUGCAUGUUGUUUCACUGGGGUGAAAUGUCAGGAACUACAAUCAAGGAGUAUCCUAAGCCUUGCUUGGUUGAUUCAUCUUCUUUGGGAUUCUCAGGAUUGCACAAUGGCCUAUGUCUUCCACAGUCUUUAGAUGAGGGAUAAACAGUAUCUAGCAAUAGGUUACUAAUAAUUGUGAGGUUUCCAAUAAUUCAGCUUAACUAGUGUAAAUCUGCAUCAAAUUACAAUGUUCUGUAGGUCUAAUGCUGCCAAGACAUAACAGUUGGGACAUGACACUAGGAUGACACUGCAGGAUUCUAUUUCUUAUUCAGACCUAUAAUAGGCAGAUUAAAUUUGGGAAAUUUUGAAUCUUAUGCCUUGAGAACUCUAUGGAAAUGAAUAGGCUGCCCACUUUCAUCUCGCGUACAACAAGAUUUCUUUGUUUCAAUUCUUUAUGGAUCUUCAUCCAGGUACAGCAGCAGUUACUAAGUGUUAGAUUAUGAACCAGGAGAUGUUGAGCAAUUAGUUUGAUAGUUCAGGUUGAAAGAAAUUGAAAUUGCAGUGAAUAGAGAAGAUUUCUGUUAAUAAAUGUGUUUGAUUGAUGGUGUUUGAUGAUCCUAUUUUUGUUUGUUAGCAGUUUAACAUCAAGAGUUCCACAGCUAAAGAUGGGAGGACCAGGGACAAAUUUUCACCUGUUAGGUCUGACGAGCAAUAAUUAAAUUGCUUGCUUAAUGUCAAGGAUCAUCUAUAUCAAUACAGCAUAAGGUCGGAUGAAGGUUUAUGUUGUAAGUUGUCAACCAAUUAGUUAGAAGGUUGGUGUUGGUGUUAUUAUCAAAUUUCUAAUGAUGGUAGAAGUGCCUAUUGCUUGGAAUUAAAGUUUUAUUGCCUUUGUUCCUACAAAUAACAACUGUACUACUUUGCAGGAGUAUAGGCCUACAAAAAUUAUACAAUCGCAUAUGAAACAGUAGCUAGAUAAGGCACUAGGCUGAUAAGGUCCUCCAUCUAAUCAUUUCUCUAUCACUUUUGCCUUCGACCGAGUAGCUGUUAUUUAUGAUGACAUUAUUAGGAUUCAAGAAUGUUUUCACUUUUUAGAGAGGGCUAGAGGGAGAUGAAGAUGUAUUGGUGGUGCUGGUUGUUGAUAUAGAUCAAUCGGAGGGUGGUCUGGUGGAAGGAUAAUGAGGCAACCACACUUCCAUUUAGAGAGUAAGAGGUGGACCAUGCCUUAUGUUAUGAUGAUCUCUUCUUUUUUCAUCAAUCUCUGAUUCAGAAGAAUAAAUAGCCAUCGAGUGUGGGCGACAUCUGAUCUUUAUCUGUAUCUGUUACAUGUUCAGGUGCUGUAGGGGUGAUUCAGACUUCAAGGUUUAUCUGAAGGGUGAUUAGAAUUGGUGACAAAUACAUGACUGUGGUGCAACUUAUAUUACUUAUUAAGCUUUAUUAGUAGAACGUAGGACAAAGAACUAACCCCAAAAAUCUAUUCAUUGAUUCACCUAUUAUGCAUCCUAGAAUUGAAAAGUUUUGUUUAAAUUCACAUGUUAUAUUUCUAUGUGGCAUACUCAAAGUUUAACAUGGUCCAGUAAGUCAUGUUUACUUGCAGAUUCAACAAACAAUUAAUGCUAUGAAAGUAAUAACACCUCCGCACAUUUCAAGACGCAAUCUGUAAGUAUAGCUAACAUUUCACCAUAAAAAAUUUGCAUUGGUAACCAAUUGAAGAUUUCCAAAUUGGCAUUGAAACAUUACCUUUAGAGAAAGAAAGCUAAGAUGAGGACUGAAAGUUCACAGAUCAUGAGUAAACAGUUGUGUAGAAAAUUGUGCACACCCAUGUUCAUUUUUUCAAAGUCUGUAGAAGAUAAGGGAAGACUAAAGAUGCUUUUGAGUGGAAAAGGUUGGUGGCGGGCUUCCUUUCUCCAUCAAUAAUCAAAUGCCUGUUUGGAUUCCAAUUUCCAAUUGCCCCUUUCCUUCAACCCCACCCUUCCUGUCUUUUCUUAAUCCUCUCUACCCUAAUAGCAGCAGGCUGGUGGGGUGUCUCUAUCAUAUCCUUUUCUUUUGUUCCAUUCUCUUAUAGGAUCCAAUCAUUCAACCCAUGUCUUCAAAACCCUAGUGCUGGCCACUGAAGCAUGUUUAAUUAGUACAUGAUUGUUUGCCCUCUACUUCAUUUCUCACACAAAUACCCUUCGUGCCGAAUGGUCGAGGGUUCAAGCCAGGGCUGCUGAGAGGUCAAGUCGAUCCAUAACCUUUUUUCCACCUAAAUCACCACUAAGGGGAAUCAUUUAUUAAAGAACAGGCCAGCAAAAAAUAUAUGGCAUAGCAGAAAAUCCAGAUGCCUGAUGGACUGAUUUUUCCCUUAGGUCUCGGCAGUCUUAGAGGCUUCAAUCAAUUUUUCAUCUGUCAUGUACAAAAAUUUGUGAAUAAAUAUACAUUAUGUUUAACUUAAAAUUUAAGAAUAAUAACAAUACUGGAUCAUGUUUAUGUAAAUAUGAAAUGCAUGUACUUGUGAAAUUCGGAACAGUCACUCAAGAUGGCUUUAUAAAUCAUGACAAAACAAGCUGCAAGUCUCAAGCCAGCUCUUGGCAAGUCUAGCUUAAGUCGAUCAGGAUCUAACUGAGUAGAGUCAAAUUGGUUAAUUUUCAAAGUUGCUUAGAUUUGACUAAACAAACUCAAAAUUUUCGAGAUCAAUUCAGCCUUUCGCCUUCAAUUGGUUAGUCAUACCGGUGAGACACUAAUUGCCUAAUGGAGACACCACAACAAAGAUUUCAGUGUUACUUCUGAAGAAAUCAACGAUGAAACAUUUUCACUUGUUAUGUUUCUGUUUCGGUCGAAAUAUAAGUUUUUUUGACUUGUUGUGGACCUAAUCGUUUUCUAGUUAGUCCUUUUCAUGCUCAAAACCUAUGAGAUCAAUUCGGUCCAUUCUUGUUGGGCAACUGAAUUGUACAAAAGGCAGAUGUUCCUUUGCUUGAGUUACAAACACAAGUGUUUUGAGCUGACAUGUUGAUCGGUAUGCAUGCCAUGCAUUCAUAAUGCUAAUUUUAACAGUUUCAAGGUACUUUCUUUAUAUUGCAUGCAUAUAAUAAAAUGGUCUAAAUAUAACAAGUGUUGCAUAUUUAUUAGGAGUAUAUAAGAAUUUUAUAUAACAAUCAUGACAGUUGUUACUUGGUUUCUGUGAUAAUUACAAACAUUUUUAUUAGUUUUAUAUAUGUUCAAAACAUAUUUGUAUCCAUUAUUGUUCUUAUUUUGCUGCAGAGAUGUUAACCAUCAAAUUCGUUAAGAUCAUUAAUUUAAAUUAUUUAAAACACAACUUUUAUUAUUAAUUCCGAGUUGUUGUCAAACCAAGUAAUGGCUUUUUGUUGUGUGCCAUCAUUAAAGCUAAUUACAACUGUUGUAACAGAGCAAAGAUAGGAUUGAGAACACAAUAUUUUGAAAAUAUUUUAGCUUUACUAGGAUGGAAAAAUGGUCUACAGUAUGAUCUGAUAUGAUAGCCCUUAUAUAAUUACCAUAACGGCAGUAUAAAUUUGAAGGACCUAGAGAUAUCAUUGUGAGGUCAAUUUAGUCAUCUUAAAAGGAGAAUUGAACUAUUGAAGUCAUCGGGUCAAUCCAAUUCCAUUGUCCUUUUUGUGUUUUUUUUUUUUUGGUUUGUUGGUAGGCGCACCAUCCAAUCACCAUGGCCGACACCACCGACAACCUUCCGAUCUGUAUCAAAUGGUCAAUAGUCUGCACCAUGUCUGUUAUGGUUUCCACACAUUGAAAAAGUGGGGAAUGCUGGGAUGAGCCGAAGCCCAUUGGGCUAAAAAGCAGUGCAGCCCACGUGAGGAUCGCUUUCAAAGGCAGGCAAGGCCAUUUGAAGGAGGACAUAGCUUCACGUCACCUUACCCUUUCCUUCUCUUAAGAAGUCCAUGCACCAAACUGAAGAAGACUAGGAGAACUAGGAGAACUAGAAGAAGAGCAAGCAGGGGAGUUUGAGGUUAGAAUUAUAAUUAUCCACGCUGGAGAAAUGGUGCAUCCAUGCUGGAAACUGCUGCUGCCGAUAACUUUGAUUGUCGUGGGAGCUUCAGGUUUGAUCGAAGAUGGUGGUGCGGCGUCUGUUCGAGGUCGAGAAUUGGAGGUGAAGUGCACUUGUGACUCGCCGUGCGGAAAUCCUUGCAGUAGUCCGAGCCUGCCGCCGCCAUCACUCCCACCGCCGCCGCCACCAGCUGAGCCUGUGAAUCCUCCACCACCAUUCUGUCCGCCGCCACCGGCGCAACCGUAUAUCCCUGCUCCACCGUAUUGGUUCGGCCCACCGGGACAUUUAUAUCCGGUGGACGGUGGGUACCAUUUUGGAGGGGCUAGCUUGAGUUCUUCUACAUGGUGGUUGCCGUUGCUGGCGGGCUGUGGGUUGUUGGCCUUGUGGUUCUGAGGACGCUGUGGGAGCUAAAAAUCUGUGAUAUUGCAGUAGUUUAAUAUAGGUUCGUGUUCUACUCUUUUAUUCUCCUAAUUCCCGCAUAGUGUAUGUAAUAAUUUGAGGGACUCUUGAUUCCGAGAUGGUUUCAUUUAGAAUAAAGUUCUUUAGUUGUUCCAUUUCUAUUAAGCUGAAAUGGUGAACAAUGCUCUCUCUCUCUCUCUCUCUCUGUGUGUGUGUGAGUGUGAUGUAAGUAGCAAGAAAAUUCCUAUAUGAUAGCCAUGGUCUUCUCAUGGGUUGUGA